AAAAAGAAGAAGGGAUGGAUGUACGGUACCUGGAGAAAUAGGCGGUGGAGAUGUUGUUGCUCCUCGGUACUGAAAUUUUGAAAGGCACUGCAGAAUCCCUACACCAACACGAGAUUACUAUCCCAGCUUUGACACCUGUUACUGCCACCAGUAAUUUCUUUUUUAUCAGCGGAUACUUUUCCAAUGUCAAGGAUGCUUCACGAUUGUUUGGUGCUAGGGAGAUAAAAGAAGCAACAAAACCAACAUAAAUUUGAAGGCAUAAAUACACUAUGACAAUGGCUCUACUUGACUAUGCAAAGAUAUGGAGACAACACUAAAAUUCCUACCUGCCCUCUUCGAAGCUUCUCCAAGGGAAUUCCAACCAUGCCAUCUUGGUUUAAGCAUCCUACAUAAACUUGUGUCUUGGUCCUAGUGGUAGAGAGGCUUCCGGUUCAAAGUGGUUGGCCUACGUCCUCAUCUCCAUUUGGAAAGGAUCAUGACCUAGAAGAAGGAACAUGUUCACCAUUACAAGAAAAGAGUUCCCACAAAAUUGAAGGACAAGGUCAAGGAUUUGAGACAUACUCUCAGCAUGAAGAAACAUAAUCAGGAUGUUAGCACCACACCCAUCUUGGGAUGUCAGGUUGGAUGAUGAUAAAGUUGAAGAAGAUGCUGUUUUCUUUGGAGCCCCAACAUUGAAUCAAAGCUGGCUCCUGAGGGGUUCAAGGAAAACCACCAGACAUAAUCCAAGAGCAAUACAUAAGAAUUUCGGGAAGCAUGUUUUGUCAAUCACUAU